GAUGAACGCUGGCGGCGUGCCUAAUACAUGCAAGUCGAGCGAACAGAUAAGGAGCUUGCUCCUUUGACGUUAGCGGCGGACGGGUGAGUAACACGUGGGUAACCUACCUAUAAGACUGGGAUAACUUCGGGAAACCGGAGCUAAUACCGGAUAAUAUUUCGAACCGCAUGGUUCGAUAGUGAAAGAUGGUUUUGCUAUCACUUAUAGAUGGACCCGCGCCGUAUUAGCUAGUUGGUAAGGUAACGGCUUACCAAGGCGACGAUACGUAGCCGACCUCAGAGGGUGAUCGGCCACACUGGAACUGAGACACGGUCCAGACUCCUACGGGAGGCAGCAGUAGGGAAUCUUCCGCAAUGGGCGAAAGCCUGACGGAGCAACGCCGCGUGAGUGAUGAAGGUCUUCGGAUCGUAAAACUCUGUUAUUAGGGAAGAACAUACGUGUAAGUAACUGUGCACGUCUUGACGGUACCUAAUCAGAAAGCCACGGCUAACUACGUG
rnacentral:rRNA from 1 species